rnacentral:rRNA from 1 species
UGAACGCUGGCGGCGUGCCUAAUACAUGCACGUCGAGCGAACAGAUGAGGAGCUUGCUCCUCUGACGUUAGCGGCGGACGGGUGAGUAACACGUGGAUAACCUACCUAUAAGACUGGGAUAACUUCGGGAAACCGGAGCUAAUACCGGAUAAUAUAUUGAACCGCAUGGUUCAAUAGUGAAAGACGGCUUUGCUGUCACUUAUAGAUGGAUCCGCGCCGCAUUAGCUAGUUGGUAAGGUAACGGCUUACCAAGGCAACGAUGCGUAGCCGACCUGAGAGGGGGAUGGGCCACAGUGAAACUGAGACACGGACCAGGCUCCUACGGGAGGCAGCAGUAGGGAAUGUUCCGCAAAGGGGGGAAGCCUGACGGAGCAACGGCGCGUGGGUGAUGAAGGUCUUCGGAUCGUAAAACUCUGUUAUUAGGGAAGAACAAAUGUGUAAGUAACUAUGCACGUCUUGACGGUACCUAAUCAGAAAGCCACGGCUAACUACGU